CAGCCGCCACGGUAACACGGAGGGUGCAAGCGUUAAUCGGAAUUACUGGGCGUAAAGCGCACGCAGGCGGUUUGUUAAGUCAGAUGUGAAAUCCCCGAGCUUAACUUGGGAACUGCAUUUGAAACUGGCAAGCUAGAGUCUUGUAGAGGGGGGUAGAAUUCCAGGUGUAGCGGUGAAAUGCGUAGAGAUCUGGAGGAAUACCGGUGGCGAAGGCGGCCCCCUGGACAAAGACUGACGCUCAGGUGCGAAAGCGUGGGGAGCAAACAGGAUUAGAUACCCCGGUAGUCCCUGUCUCUUAUAC
rnacentral:rRNA from 1 species